rnacentral:rRNA from 1 species
CGUAGGGGGCGAGCGUUGUCCGGAUUUAUUGGGCGUAAAGAGCUCGUAGGCGGCUCAGAAAGUCGGGUGUGAAACCUCCAGGCUCAACCUGGAGACGCCACCUGAUACUGCUGUGGCUAGAGUCCGGUAGGGGAACACGGAAUACCCGGUGUAGCGGUGAAAUGCUUAGAUAUCGGGUGGAACACCAGUGGCGAAGGCGGUGUUCUGGGCCGGAACUGACGCUGAGGAGCGAAAGCGUGGGUAGCAAACAGGAUUAGAUACCCUGGUAGUCCACGCCGUAAACGUUGGGCACUAGGUGUGGGACCCUAUCGACGGGAUCCGUGCCGUAGCUAACGCAUUAAGUGCCCCGCCUGGGGAGUACGGCCGCAAGGCUA